rnacentral:miRNA from 7 species
GUGAGCCAGGAAAAGGAUGAAAGAUUCUAAGAGCACUAGGAAUAGGAACAUGAAGGAAAGCAUUAUUGUGCAUGGAGAUUUAGGCCUGAUGUUUUCCUGAUGCCUCCUAUUCCUAAGGCUCUUAGGUUCUCCUUCCCUUUCCUUAUGGCU